UACUUCACGUCUAUAUUAAUGAGAACAUGUAGACACGCAUCUGAAUGGGGAGUAUAUAGUAACAGGGAGAAUGUAGUCAUUAAAUGUUAAUAUUUUGCAGCGUUUUUCCUUCUUUGUUACUCGAGUUGCUGCGGACUACAAGUCCCAUUGGUCAUCUUGGAUUUUGACGUUGUUUUGAAUUUAAAAAAGAUUUAGCAGUUUAUAUGCCGUAUACUGUAAACUUUAACUUAAUGCGGCAAACUACGCCUUCUCUACAGCGAUAUUUUAAAAAUUAGAAAUGUACCGAAAAAAAACGCUGUAUUCGGCUGUGCUGUCACUGGUCUCCGAAAGAGCGCAGUCUCCUUUGUACUUGCUGCGUGGUCAUCCAUCCUCACAGAGAAGAGAAGAAUCUGGACCCUCGUGGAAGCCGGGGUUCCCUUGGAUGGGAGCCAACCGUUUCGUGGCCCGGAGCAGCAGCUCAGUGUUUUGAAGGAAGCUUAGAUGACCGGUUCGUCGGGGUCACCGAUGAGCUCAUCUGGUCUGACAGGCUUUGGAGUCUGAAUGGAGGCCUGGCGCCGGUCGGACCUGCUUGCAUCCUGGCACACAAGAGUUGGUCAUCCUCCAGACACAAGCAGAACAUUCUGGGUUUCCCCGCAUGACCUGCCAAAAGACCUCCCUGAUUUUACGCUUCUGCAGCCAGUGGAAGAGCAAACAGUUUCAAAGGCGAACCUCACCCAGGCCUUAUGGGUCCUGGACUAUUUAGCUCUGGUGCUGAAAUCUACCUGCUGAUGAUAAACUAUGUGUCAUAGACAGUUACAGCUCAUGCAUCAUGAAUAAUGAUGUGAGCAGAAGGCAGUGCGUCAUGUCACAUGACACCUGGCUACAUGAUUAGUAUGAAGCCAUGAACUGUAGCAUAAAUGGGAACCACCUUUAAUCCAAUUAGACCUCUGUGGCCAAAGGCCUUAUUUAAAGGGCUUUUCUCGUGUAAAUUUGCCACCUGAAUGUGACAGCAGGCAGCCAAUUUAAAAGUCUUCUCCCACUCCCUCC